rnacentral:rRNA from 1 species
CUACGGGUUGCAGCAGUGGGGAAUAUUGCACAAUGGACGAAAGUCUGAUGCAGCAACGCCGCGUGGAGGAUGACACAUUUCGGUGCGUAAACUCCUUUUAUAGGUCAAGAUAAUGACGGUAGCCUAUGAAUAAGCGCCGGCUAACUCCGUGCCAGCAGCCGCGGUAAUACGGAGGGCGCAAGCGUUACUCGGAAUCACUGGGCGUAAAGAGCGUGUAGGCGGGUUAAUAAGUCAGAAGUGAAAUCCAAUGGCUCAACCAUUGAACUGCUUUUGAAACUGUUAACCUAGAGUAUGGGAGAGGUAGAUGGAAUUUCUGGUGUAGGGGUAAAAUCCGUAGAGAUCAGAAGGAAUACCGAUUGCGAAGGCGAUCUACUGGAACAUUACUGACGCUGAGACGCGAAAGCGUGGGGAGCAAACAGGAUUAGAUACCCGAGUAGUC